rnacentral:rRNA from 1 species
UUGAAAGGGAAACGAUUGAAGUCAGUCGUACUGAUGGGAAAUCAACUUCUCGAGUGCUUGUCGUGGAUGACGUUGAGCUUCACGGCCUUCGUUGCUUACGUUAUGGUGCUUUUGAGGUGUACUUUCCGUAUGGUAGGUCAACAUCGAUUUUGAUCGUCAUAAAAUGAUCGGAGGAAUGUGGCUCUGAUCUUGUAUCGGAGUGUUAUAGCCUUUGAUAGAUGUGACGAUUGGGAUCGAGGAUUGCAACGAAUACCCUUUUGGGCUAUCCGUCUGACCUCUGAAAGUCGCUCGGGUGUCGAAAGCGUGCUUAUGAUAUUUUAGUUGGCGGUCAAAAGGUUAGAACGUGAUUACAUUCGUUAAGGAUGUUGACGUA